AAAAAGGCAAACCCUGGGUUUCCGUGUCCAACUUUGACUGUUCGUCUUAUAUGAAAUUUUUUUAUAAUUCGUAUUUCCAUUGUUGUUAGAUGAUAAAACAUGAUUAAUAUUUUAUGCGUGACUUGUCUUUUAAUUUUUUUUUAUAAUUUUUUUAAAUAAGGCGGACGGUCGAACGUUGGACACGGAAACCAGGGUU
rnacentral:pre_miRNA from 1 species